UACGGGGGGGGCUAGCGUUGUUCGGAAUUACUGGGCGUAAAGGGCGCGUAGGCGGCCUACUAAGUCGGACGUGAAAUCCCUCGGCUCAACCGGGGAACUGCGUCCGAUACUGGUGGGCUUGAAUCCGGGAGAGGGAUGUGGAAUUCCAGGUGUAGCGGUGAAAUGCGUAGAUAUCUGGAGGAACAUCGGUGGCGAAGGCGGCAUCCUGGACCGGUAUUGACGCUGAGGCGCGAAAGCCAGGGGA
rnacentral:rRNA from 1 species